AGUGAACGCUGGCGGUAGGCCUAACACAUGCAAGUCGAACGGCAGCACAGUAAGAGCUUGCUAUUACGGGUGGCGAGUGGCGGACGGGUGAGGAAUACAUCGGAAUCUACUUUUUCGUGGGGGAUAACGUAGGGAAACUUACGCUAAUACCGCAUACGACCUACGGGUGAAAGCAGGGGAUCUUCGGACCUUGCGCGAUUGAAUGAGCCGAUGUCGGAUUAGCUAGUUGGCGGGGUAAAGGCCCACCAAGGCGACGAUCCGUAGCUGGUCUGAGAGGCUGAUCAGCCACACUGGGACUGAGACACGGUCCAGACUCCUACGGGAGGCAGCGGUGGGGAAUAUUGGACAAUGGGCGCAAGCCUGAACCAGCCAUACCGCGUUGAUGAAGAAGGCCUUCGGGUUGUAAAGCCCUUUUGUUGUGAAAGAAAAGCAGCAGGAUAAUACCCCGCUGUUCUGACGGUACCCAAAUAAUAAGCACCGGCUAACUACGUG
rnacentral:rRNA from 1 species